rnacentral:lncRNA from 1 species
UAGUGUAGUUGGGAUUGGGAUGGCCUCUCUUUUUUGUUCUCUGUUGAUGAUCUAAUUUGCUUGCUGUGAAUGUGAUGCUUAGUUCAAACCUGCUAUCCUAUUUAUAAGAAAAUAAGAACAAGCUAGCUCAAGUUAUGGUCUUUUAUUAAUAUUAAUUACGACAAAUCAGUUUCCCAUCUCUUUCAUUGAUAUGAACAUGGCUGAUCUCAUUGGUAUGGCGCAAUAUUAUUUGUUAAAUUUGCUGUGCGGGUUGAUUUCUUUGUGUAACUCUUCUGCCAAUUCUGCAACUUGUAGACGUAAUUCCCAUUACAAAAUAAAAAAUAAAAAAUAAAUCCAGAACUCAUGUAAGAUAAAUAAAGACUUCUUAUAUCAUAAAAUAAGACUUUCUAACUUGUUUACAAGACUAUAGUGACAAGAUCAAACACAUUGAUGGGUGAGCAUUUUCCUUCAACAUCUGUUCUGUGCGUUUAAAUUGAGCGUGGAGUCUUUUUAGCAAUUAAAAGUUUUGUAUCAUGUAAUUGACUUGGUUUGAUAAGACCUACAUCUAGAUGACUUGGUUCUGAAGACUAAUGUAAAACCUUAUGUUGAUAUUUUUUGAGGGUGAAACAUCAUUUGAGAAACGUUUUGGGCCUCAUUACAAUUUUUUUCAUUUAUUUUUUAAGUUUCGGCUUAAAUAUUCUACAAAAUACAUUUUUGGAUUUAAUAACAGGUAAAACCACUUUCAAAUAUCUUGUUAAGUUUUUCUUAACGUCACAGAAUUUUUUUUACGAAAUUGAAACAUUUGCAUUUUUCACAAAAAAUGUGUUUUCUCAGUUUUGUAAAUUUGUAUAAAAAUCUUCAUUAAGUCCAUUUCUUUUCACAUUCACCUUACCAUGAGGCACUUAAAAUUAAUUUAUAACUUUCCAUCGAUACUUGAGUAUAGACCCUUGUUAAGGCAAAGAAUUGGACUUCACUACAAUUUUUUUAUUUUUUAUUUUUUUUAGGUUUUGGCUGAAAUAUUCUAUUAAAACUAAAUUUGUGGCUCAAUAAUUGGUCAAACUCCUUCCAAACGCUUUAUAACUUUAUAAAUAUAUUGACCUAAUGCUAACGAAAAAUAUUUUGUGAAGAUUAAGGAUUGGGAUUUCUCACAAAAAAUGUGGUUGCUCACUAUUUUUCCUUAGUUUUGCAAAUUUGUGCACAAAUCAUCAGUCAAUCUAUUAGUUUUCAUCUUUGCCUCAGUGUGAUGUUUCUAAAAUUAAUGUAAGAGUUUUUGUUCAUAGUCUUGAGUAUAUACCCCGUUUAGGCAAUGUUGGAUCGCACCACUGUUUUUUUUAUAUUAUUUUUUGGGUUUGGAUUAACGUAUUCUAUUAGAAAUACAUUUAUGGCUCAAUAAUUUGUAGACCACUUUCAGAUGCCCUAUAAAGAUUUUCUUAAUGCUCUUGAAAAAUAGAAAAUUUGUAUUUUUCACACACAAAAACAUGGGCUAACACUAACGAUUUUUAGGUGAUUUUGCAAAUUCGUACAAAAAUAUUAUCAAAUCUUAAGCCUUUAUAAUUCUUGUUCUAAAUGGACUGUCUGUCAAUCGUACAAGAUUAUAAUCACAUGAUAAACACACUGAUGGGUGUGUAAUUUCCUACAAUAUCUUCAAAGUGCGAUUAAAAUGAGCGAUUGUCGACUUUCAUAAAGUAGUAUGGGUAUCGGUCUUUUGUUAUUGCAAACUUUUAUAACUCUUGUACUAACAAUUUGUACAAGUAUAAAUGGAUUAACAGACUAACAGUUUGGAUAUAAAUGAAGACUAAAUGAGGGACUUGAUUCUCAACUUGCACAGUACACAGGUAUGAAGUCUUUUGUUAUAAUUAUAGACUUAAUGUCUAGUUCAUUAAGGUAUUGGUCUCUAAAAGAACUGGAUUUAGAGAACGAAAGUGCAAUCAAAUGAGAAAUAUAUUAGUCUUUCAAAAACACAUGGCUGCAGAUGUGUAGUCGUCUUUUAUUUAUUUAUUUAUUUGAACAAACAAUUGUAUCUACACUAAGGGAUAGAAGAGUGGGCUAAACCUUAGAAUGGGCUUACAACAAUAAUGUGGUUCAACUUCACCUUUGACGAUAAUUGAAUCUAAAACCAUUCACUUAGAAAUAAAGAGGUAUACCACCACACCGUAGUAUUAAGUAACAUGACAGCAUACAGCUAUAGGUGUGGAGUCUUUGUUAGCAUUAAAAGUUUUGUAACAAGUAAUUGACUUGGUGUCAUAAGGCCUACAUCUAGAUGACUCGGUUUUAAAAACUAAUGUAAGAGUUUCUGUUGAUAUUUCUUGAGGGUGAAACACCGUUUGAGAAACGUUUUGGGCCUCAUUACAUUUUUUCACUUAUUUUUUAGGUUUCGGCUUAAAUAUUCUACUAUAAAUACAUAUGUGGCUCAACUAUUGGUAAACCCACUUCCAAAUGUCUUGUAAAGAUUUUCUUAAUGUCACGAUAAAUAUUUUACGAGAGUUAACACUCAUUGUAUUUUAUUGGUUUUGCAAAUUCUUAUGAAAAUCAUCAUUUAGUCCAUUUGUUUUCACAUUCGCCUUACUGUGAGGUACUUAAAAUUAAUGAAUAACUUUCCCACAUUAAGGCAAGGAUUUGGGCCUCACUACAAUAUUUUUUUUUUUUCAUUUAGAAUUUUUAGGUUUCGAGUUAAAUAUACCAUUAAAACUAAAUCUGUGGCUCAAUAAAUUGUAGAAACUUGUCCAAAUGCAUUACAAAUAUAAAACUUUCGAAAUGCAUUACAAAUAUUCUCUUAAUGCUAACAGAAAAUAUUUUGGGAAGAUAAAAGAUCUGCAUUUCUCAAUAAAAUGUGGUUGCUCACUGUUUUUAGUCGGUUUUGCAAAUUCAUAUAAAAUCUUUAUUAAAUCUAUUUGCUUUCACCUUCGCCUCACAAUGAUGUUUCUAAAAUUAAUGUAAGACUUUUUUAUGAUACUCUUGAAUAUAGACCCCGUUUAGGCAAUGUUCGGCCUCACUGCUAUUUUUUUACUUAUUUUUUGGGUUUUGGUUUAAAUAUUCUAUUAUAAAUACAUUUGUGACUCAAAAAUUAGUAGAACCACUUUGAGAUGCCCUAUAAAGAUUUUCUUAAUUCGCACAAAAAAAAUAGAAAAUUUGCAAACAUAAAAGACGUUGGUCAUGAUUUUAGGCGAUUUUGCAAAUUCGUACAAGAAUCAUUAUUAAAUAUAUUUUUUUCAACCUUAUCCUCACCAGAAGGCUUUAAAAUUACUGUAAUAAUUUCGGUUAAUAUUUCUUGAGAUGAAACCCCAUUUUAGCAAUGUUUUAUGCCCAACUAAUAUGUUUUCAGUUAAUUUUAGGUUUCAACUUAAAUAAUCUAUUAGAAAUGCAUUUGUGGCUCUAUAAUUGGUAGAACAACUUUAAAAUGUCUUAUAAAUAUUUAAUUAAUGUUCAGUAAAAUAUUUUGGGAAAAUAUAAAAUUGCAUUUUAGACAAAAAAAAAAAAGCCACGAUUUUUAUACGGUUUUGAAAAUUUGAACAUUGAUAUUUUUACAUUAAGGGGAGGGUGAGUUUGGCUAAGCCACACAAAUGGCAACCUAAUUUGGUAUCAAAUUCGCCAUCCACGAGAUUCAAACCUAAGACCUCCUAUUUCCAAGUGGAGAGGAAUACCACCAGAUCGUAGUACUGAGUGGCAAAAAAUCAUCAAUAAAUCUACUUGUUUCACCUUCACCUUUCCUUGAUGUUUUAAAACUAAUGUAAGGCUUUACGUUAAUAUUCUUGAGUUCAAGGCCGAAUUUAUGCAAUGUUUUGGGCCUUACUACAACAGCAACACACAACAACAACCAAGCCUUGUGCCAUUAAGUGGGGUCUACUGUACACCACAAUGAUCGUGUUUGCACCAAAUCUUUCGCUAGCUAGAAAUACUGCAUAUAAUUUGCUAGUCUGUUUCCAAGUCUUCCUAACUUUUCCUCCACCCCUUUUGCCUUGAGCCUCUAUCUCAUAGUCGCCUAUUCUACCAUAGCAUUUGUAGAUAUUUGGUUCAUGUACCCAAACCAUCUCAACCAAUUUUCUUUCAUCUUAUCUUCAAUGGAGACCCCUCCCACUUUACCUGUCAUGCUCCGAUCCCGACAUUCUUCCAGGAUUGACAUGUGACGUCACCCAUAACAUGUAUAUAUAACAUACCCCGCCUCCCAGAUAUGUACAAGGCACAACUCAUAGUCCAACUGCGUAGUAGUUUUUCGUACACUUUAUGGCUGCAUCUAACCUCCUCGUUAGACUGCCUACGUACCUUAAACAGGGAUCAAGCCAUUCAUAGUUCGUCUUUCACUACACUCAAACAAUCAUCACGAGGAACAUUCGACAAAGCACAAUAAUAUUCUCUAGUCAUCUUGCCAUUCAUAUACACAUAUGCUUCCAAACACCAUUCAAUAAUCACAACAAUCAACAACACAUACAAUAAAUAGAAAUGCAGGGUUAGAGCCACAUAGUUUGGCCGAGGCCUACAUCUCUGAAGCUGAAAUCAAAUCCAGGUAACAAACAAGUCAAAUGAUGCAAUUUCGGACCACUCAACGAAAUCCAUUAACAUCGGGUUCAGAACCACUCUGCGAAAUCGCAGAGUAUAAGGGAUUCUGAACCUCUCAACGACAUAAUAGUGGAUACGAUCCUGAACCAUCAUUUAAUGGAAUCGUGGAUUAGAAGGGAUUUCAGACCAUCACUUAAUGGAAUUGAAAUGGAUAUGAUUCCGAACCAUCAUACAAUGGAAUUACGGAUUAGAAGGGAUUCCGAACCAUCACUCAACGGAAUCCAAGUGGAUACGAUUCCAGACCAUCACUCAAAGGAAUCAUGGGUUAGAAGGGAUUCUGGACCAUCACUCAAUGGAACCCCAGCGGAAACCCAGUUCCGGAUUACUCAAUGGAACUGAGCGGAAGUCCAAGGAAUAUAGCAAUGGCUUGAAGAAACAAUACAAGAACCAAUUACUCAAUUUGGAAGGGCUGAACAAAACAAAAGUGAAAUAAGGAAACAAGAUGGGAAACAAGUUCGGUGUCGAUCCAACGGUCAAAUCGUCAAUUCAUAUAAUAACCAAGUGGCGGCCGACUAGGCGGUCAACUAUGACACUAUAUUAAAAUAUCAAGAUUUCACUAAUGGAUGUCAUAUACGGAAUCAGGGUAUCAAAUUUAGCCUAGGAUGGUCAGGUGGGGUCUCGGCCCACACGCCGAUGCACGUGGUGGCCAGCCGCGCCCGACCCGCCGAAAAAUUCAACUAUUUCAAAAAAAAAUACUAAAUAUUAUAGGCAUGUAGAUCUCAAUGAGGGAAGUAAUUUUCAUAACUGAGCUAAAGUCCAAUUCCGAUGGAAAGUGCUCGGAAUUUCCCUCGAUCCACCGAAACACUAGAAUUUGGGUGUCCUCGAUUCGACCUCCAUAGUAGCUUCGAUGCCUCCUCCACUGCUUAGGAUUUGUUCCUAAGGUUGUGGGGAGCCUUAUGGUGGUGGUGCUUGACGAAGUUACCUUCGGAUAGGAUAGAUCGCCACCACGAACCUUGUCGCACCCAUUGUGCGGGUUUAACAAUUUUAAGGUCAAAUUCCAUUUAUUUUGGGGUGGAAUGGAUAGAGGGGAGGCCAUGGAGUGUUUCCCCAGGAGGUUGUUUGACCUGGUUCGCCCAAAAAACUGAUGAAAAGCCGUUAGAAAUGGCUACCUGAACUGGGUUGGGUCACGCAGGAAAAUGGGUCAAAGAGGGGAUCUGAUUCCCCCAUUCUUUCCUCCCUCCUUUCCCCUUCUUGCUCUCUUCCCCCAUUGGUCACUCCCCCUCCUUUUCUUUCCUGCAACCUCAACUUCCUCUCUCUUGCUGUCAUCUGGCAGCUUCUAAUUUUUUUAUUUUUUUCAGAAACUUCUAACGUUUCCUUUCUCGUCCCGAUUCACGAACAGCCUUCACCUAUGCGCUCGUGGGGUCGAGCUCAAUUAGAAAACAUUAAGCGUGACCUCCAAAGGUCUACAGAUUUUAAAUGAUUAUUUUCAAAAAUUCAAACUUUGUAAUUAAUAAUUAAAAUAUAAAAUUAAUUUAAAUUCACGAAAAUACUAUAAAAUCCUGCGAAUACAAAAUACGUAAAUUACAAUAGUGAAAUCUAAUAGCGGAAUUUCACAUUACCUUGGAUGUCCUCGUUGUUAAUCCAAUCAUUUUGACACCCCGACCCCAAUAACACAAGUUACGAGGUCGAGAUAUCUUGGCCGUCACUAAAUUGACCAUAUGGCCCCAUUGAGGGAUGACUUCACAAGCCAAAUUAAUAACGAAGCCAUAGUAAGAUGAGUGCGAGUAAGAUGAGUGCGAUAUUAGUGAAUUUGAAUUCAACACAUUCAUUAAUAAUAAAUCGAGGUUGCUGCAAAAUUUCCUAAUCAAUCUCCCUACUUGGGAAAUAUAUUCAGGGUUUAGAUCCCAUUAUUAUCACAUCAUCAGAGCUGUCACGCCCCGAUCCCGACAUACGUCCAAGAUCAAUACGUGACGUCCCUAAAUGCCCGUAACUCAACAUACCCCGCCUUUUGGAUAUGUACAAAUUAUAAUUCAAGAUCCAGAUGCAUAAUAAUUUUACGUAUACUUUAUGGCUGCAUCUAACAUCUUCGUUAGACUACCUACGUACUCUCAAUAGAAAUCAAGCCAUUCGUAGUUCCACUAUCGUCAACUCUAAUCUUUCCAUAAAAUACUUCUAACAAAAAAUCAUAAGCACCAUAUUACACAUCAACCUUACGUCAACAACAAUUAUCAUCUUUCAUACACGCAUGUAAUGUAACCCAUUCUCACACAGAUACUUUCCAAUUCAUCCAUCAUAUAGAUCACUCUGUUUCACAUAAUACCGCAAAUCAUAGUAUGUAACAUAUCAAAUAACCAACAAAGCACAAUGUUAUUCUCAAGUCACAUUAAUCAAUUACUCUAAUCAUAAUAAUCUCAAUCAUACCCAACGUCAUUCCACAAUCACUUCAAUUAAUUAAUCAUGAAUCAAAGAUACAUGAUCUUAGCAUUUAAUUGUUUAAUCAAUGAAUACAGUAACAUAUCAUUUCACAAAUUUAACCAAGGAACUCUAUCAACUCCGAAAGAGUUACCCAUACAUCCAACGGAUCAUUUGGAACAAAUCACAACAGCUCAUAAUCAUAAUCUCAUACAACACCAUGAAAAGUAAGGCUAGAGCGACAUAGUUCAGCCGAAGCCUACAUCUCUAAAGCUAUCUCGAUCCAAACUCAAUAAAACCCAAGGUGAACACAAUCCCGAACCAUCUCUCAACAGAAUCACGAAGUAUGAAGGAUUCCGAACCAGCUCUUAACGAAAUCCAAGUGGAUACGAUUUCGGACUAUCACUCAACGAAAUCGCGGAGCACACUGCAUAACCACCACUAAGUGAAACCCAAGUUAGAUAUGAUUCUGGAACAUCACUUAAUGGAAUUGUGGAGUAGAAGGGAUUCCAGACCAUCACUCAACGAAAUCGGGGAGUACAAGGGAUUCCGGACCAUCACAACGAAAUCCAAACCAGGAUACAAUUCAAGAUCACCACUCAACGGAAUCGCGGAGUAGAAUGUGUAACACCAAUCAAUAAAACAAGACAUGGAUCAAGUUACUCAAUGUACAAAGACUCAACGGAAUGAGGAUGAAUAAUGGCACGUGGGUUGAAACAUGUUUCGAAGGCAACCAACCCCAAAACAAUGGUUAAUGGUCCACUUUUAGCCCUCACAUUUCAUCACCUCAAUCCAAUCAUACAAUACAAACCAUAUUUCCAAUGCACAAGUCAAAUCAUACAUAAUGAAAAGAGAUCAAUGACCAAAAAUAAAAUAACACUUCAAUAGAAUUCACAUUUAAUUAACAUGGGUCUAUGGCAUAUAUAUAUAUAUAUAUAACAUGAGCCAAAGAAAUCAUUUUUCUGCAGCUUACGUAACAGCCCAUUUCCAAUUCAUAUAACAAAUCUCAAAAUACUUCCAGGUAGCCUAGAAGCAUGUAUACAACAUCCAAAACUAACAUGACUCAAAAUUAACAAGAAAUUGACCUUUUGAACCAAACCCUUGAUCAAGAAAUUUGAUCUACACACCCAAUCUGAAAUACCCAACUCUAAUUCAUGUUAGACUAGUUCAUUGAAUGAUAGAAACCCUAAAUAGAAUUAAGAACUCCAAUAUAUCAUGGCAGUUUCAAUUCAACUUAAGAAAGUUAAAUUUGAAAAUCAAGAUAAUGAAGUAACAAGGAAUUUUACCCUUUAAAUGUCUGAAUCCUUCCUUCACAAUCACGUUCUCUAUCUCCUCUCUCUCCGAUUUUUGCUUGAAGAAAGAAGGAUUUUCUUCCAACAGCAAUGGAAGAGCCACCUCCUCUCUGUUUCUUUUUCUUUCCUCGCAAAGCCAGGAAGAAUGUGGAAGAACGUUCUUUUCCCCCUUUUCUUUCGCAACUCCCUUUUUCCUUCUCUCCUCCCUCCCUGUUUCUUUUCCUUCUUCCCCCCGUUGGUCCCUCAUUUUCCUCCUCUGUUUCUUUUUUUUUUCCCCUCUUUUUCUCGCCAUUCUCGUGGCUUUCCUAUUUCUUGUCUCCUUCAGCCACUCCCGUGGCUUUUUCUUCUCAUUUUUUUUUUUGCAACAACUUCAAACGUCCGUAACUAUACUGUUAUAAUCCGAACUCGCAAACGGCUUUCGCCUAUGCGUUCAUGAUCUCGAUAUCUAUUCAACAAUAUAAAUUGUGACCUCGAAUGGUCUACGGAUUUUAAAUAAUUAAUUUCCCGAAAAAUAAUAUAAAAUCUCUAUAAUACCAAUACGUAGAUUAUAAUAAUGAAAUCCAGGAACGGGAUUUCACAAGAGCAGCUAGAAGUUUCAAGAAACACAUAAAAAUGUAGUGCUAUGCAUAAUCAAGAGUGCGAUCAUGCAAAAAUUACUGACAAAAUAAAUAUGCAAUAGAGGAAUCAUUACCCAAAAUCCAAAAAAUGAUACCUCACUGCCAAGUCCACUUGCCAUCACUGAGGUUCUCCUGAUUCUCGCUAUGUCCUAAGGGGUUGAUAAACAAAGUAUGAGUGGAUCAAGUUCUAUCUCGUCAAAAUCAAUCGAAUAACCUCCAUUUUGAAAUAUGCUAUUGUAAAAUUAUCAAAGAUACGGGCUUAGGGCCCACAUCCAACAAUAUCGAUAUAGUCCCAACUUGGUAAUUACUACCCUUACAAUCCGUCAGGUGUGAGGUUUUAUCACAAAAAGCCUUGGUGUUAGAUGGGGUGAGGAUAGGAUAUUUAAACUCCUCUGUACUUAGAGAUAUAGUUGAUGUGAGAUAUUUUAACACCUAUAUAUAUUUAUAUAGUAAAAACUACAUACAUAAUAAUACUACCAUAAUAGUGGUCACAAUCAAUUCAUCUCGCACGUCAUAUCAAAGAAAGUAAGUCAUUCAUAAAAUCAAAGUAAUAGAAUAUGAUUUUAUCAAUAUCGUAGAUGAUUCUUAUAAUCAAGUAUACACACGUUGGUGCGACUUCGAUUCCAAUGAUCUCUCCCUUUUAACAACUAACUAUAUUUAUUUCAUAAACGCUAUAAUUUGUAUUUAUGAAAAAAUGAUUUAAUCAUAUUAAUUCUGCAUAGUCCCGUCAAGUUGGAUAGUAAAUGUCAUAAAUAAGGCUUUUUAGUCAAAAUGAAGUCCUUGAGAUUUGCCUAACUCAUCACCUUGGUCCUUGAGAUUCAAAAUCAAUAGAAGUGGUCCUUGAGAUAGUCCACCACCAAUCAUUAUGGUCCUUCGGUGAAAAAUUGUGUUAAAUAAGAAUGAAAAUGAUAAAAUUACCCUCAAUGUAAUAAACAAUAGGCCAACAUGAUUUGACAAAAUUUGAGGGUAUUUUUGUCAUUUUAUCCUUAUUUUAUGGAGUUUUUUCACGGAAUAACGAAAAUGAUUGAUUGUGGACAAACUCAAGGAUUAAUUCUAUCGAUUUCAAAUCUCAGGGACCAAAACGAGGAGUUAUGCAAAUCUCAAGAACCAUUUUAACUAAAAAAUUAUUAUUCCUAAUAUCCUAAGAGUGUUGCUACUCCCACCCCGAUGUCUUAUUUCUCCACCCACUCUAAAUUAAAUAUUUUGUUUACAAAUUUAUCCUCUUGCAAAAUGGCUUUGAAGGACCUAAACAAAAAAGGAUUUUGACAAAGUAAGACCCAAAAAAAUUCAAUUUGAAUAUAUAUAAAAAAAAAGUUUAGAAAAAAAAUUCAAUUUGCUUGCUGUGAAUGUGAUGCUUAGUUCAAACCUGCUAUCCUAUUUAUAAGAAAUUAAGCACAAGCUAUCUCAAGUUAUGGACUUUAAUUAAUAUUAAUUUCGACAUAUCAGUUUCCCAUCCCUUUCACUGAUAUGAACAUGGCUGAUCUCAUUGGUGUGGCGCAAUAUUUGUUAAAUUAGCCGUUCGGGUUGAUUUCUUUGUAUAACUCUUCUGCCAAUUCUGCAACUUGUAGACUUAAUUCCCAUUACAAAAUUUUAAAAAAAAAAAUCCAAAAUUAAUGUAAGAUAAAUAAAGACUUUUUAUAUCAUAAAAUAAGACUUUCUAACUUGUAUACAAGACUAUAGUGACAAGAUCAAACACAUUGAUGGGUGCGUAUUUUCCAUCAACAUCUGUUUUGUGCGUUUAAAUUGAGCGUGGAGUCUUUUUUAGCAUUUAAAAGUUUUUUAUCAUGUAAUUGACUUGGUUUGAUAAGACCUACAUCUAGAUGACUUGGAUCUGAAGACUAAUGUAAAACCUGCUAUCCUAUUUAUAAGAAAUUAAGCACAAGCUAGCUCAAGUUAUGGUCUUUAAUUAAUAUUACUUUCGACAAAUUAGCUUCCCAUCCUUUCAUUGAUAUGAACUUGGCUGAUCUCAUUGGUGUGGCGAAAUAUUUGUUAAAUUAGCUGAUCGGGUUGAUUUCUUUGUAUAACUGUUCUGCCAAUUCUGCAACUUGUAGAUGUAAUUCCCAUUACAAAAUAAAAAAAAUAAAAUCCAAAACUCAUAUACGAUAAAUAAAGACUUUUUAUAUCUUAAAAUAAGACUUUCUAACUUGUAUCAAGACUAUAGUGACAGGAUCGAACACAUUAUGGGUGCGCAUUUUCCAUCAACAUCUGUUCUGUGCGUGUAAACUGAGCGUGGGGUCUUUUUUAGCAAUUAAAAGUUUUGUAUCAUGCAAUUGACUUGGUUUGAUAAGACCUACAUAUAGAUGACUUGGUUCUGAAGACUAAUGUAAAACCUUUUGUUGAUAUUUCUUGAGGGUGAAACAUUGUUUGAGAAACGUUUUGGCCCUCAUUACAAUUUUUUUCAUUUAUUUUUUAAGUUUCGGCUUAAAUAUUCCGCUAUAAAUACAUUUGUGGAUUUAAUAACAGGUAAAACCACUUCCAAAUAUCUUGUGAAGUUUUUCUUAAUGUCACCGAAAUUGUUUAAGGAAAAUGAAACAUUUGCAUUUUUUCACAAAAAUUGUGGUUUCUCAGUUUUGUAAAUUUGUAUAAAAUUCUUCAUUAAGUCCAUUGGUUUUCACAUUCGCCUUACCAUUGGGCUUCACUACAAUUUUAUUAUUUUAUUUAUUUUUUAGGUUGUGGCAGAAAUAUUCUAUUAAUUAAAUUUGUGGCUCAAUAAUUGGUAAAACUCUUUCCAAAUGCUUUAUAAAUAUAUUGUCCUAAUGCUAACGAAAAAUAUUUUGUGAAGAUUAAGGAUUUGGAUUUCUCACAAAAAAUGUGGUUGCUCACUAUUUUUCUUUAGUUUUGCAAAUUCGUACAUAAAUAAUCAUUGAAUAUAUUAGUUUCUUGAUAUUCUUGAGUAUAUACCCCGUUUAGGCAAUGUUGGACCUCACUAUUGUUUGUUUUUAUUAUUUUUUGGGUAUGGGUUUAAGUAUUCAUUAGAAAUACAUUUGUGGCUCAAUAAUUGGCAGACCACUUUUAGAUGCCCUAUAAAGAUUUUCUUAAUGCUCUAGAAAAAUAGAAAAUUUGCAUUUUUCACAUAGAAAAAUGUGGGCUAACAAUCACGAUUUUUAGGCGAUUUUGCAAAUUCGUACAAAAAUAUUAUCAAAUCUUAAGCCUUUAUAACUCUUGUUCUAAAUGAACUGUUUGUCAAUUGUACAAGAUUAUAAUUACAUGAUAAACACACUGAUGGGUGUGUAAUUUCCUGCAAUAUCUUCAAAGUGCGAUUAAAAUGAGCGAAUGUCGACUUUCAUAAAGUAGUAUGGGUAUAGGUCUUUUAAUAGUGCAAGCUUUUAUAACUCUUGUACUAACCAUUUGUACAUGUUUAUAAAUGGAUUAACAGACUAACAGUUUGGGUAUAAAUGAAGACUAAAUGAGGGACUUGAUUCUCAACUUGCACAGUACAUAGGUGUGAAGUCUUUUGGUAUAAUUAUAGACUUAAUGUCUAGUUCAUUAAGGUAUUGGUCUCUAAAAGAACUGGAUUUAGAGAACGAAAGUGCAAUCAAAUGAGAAAUAUAUUAGUCUUUCACAAAGCACAUGGCAGCAGAUGUGGAGUCGUUUUUAUUUAUUUAUUUAUUUAAACAAACGAUUGUAUCUACACUAAGGGGUAGAAGAGUGGGCUAAAUCUUAGAAUGGGCUUACAAUAAUAAAGUGGUUUAACUUCACCUUUGCCGAUAAUCGAAUCUAAAACAUUUCACUUACAAAUGAAGAGGUAUACCACUAGACCGUAGUACUAAGUAGCAUGCCAGCAUACGGCUAUAGGCGUGGAGUCUUUGUUAGCAAUUAAAAGUUUUGUAACAAGUAAUUGACUUGGUGUCAUAAGGCCUACAUCUAGAUGACUCGGUUUUUAAAACUAAUGUAAGAGUUUCUGUUGAUAUUUCUUGAGGGUGAAACACCGUCUGAGAAACAUUUUGGGCCUCAUUACAAUUUUUUUUUCACUUAUUUUUUAGGUUUCGGCUUAAAUAUUCUACUAUAAAUACAUAUGUGGCUCAACAAUUGGUAAAACCACUUCCAAAUGUCUUGUAAAGAUUUUUUUAAUGUCACGAAAAAUAUUUUAUGAGAGUUAACACUCAUUGUAUUUUGUUGGUUUUGCAAAUUCUGAUGAAAAUCAUCAUUUAGUCCAUUUGUUUUCACAUUCGCCAUACUGUAAGGUACUUAAAAUUAAUGAAUAACUUUUCCACGUUAAGGCAAAGAUUUGCGCCUCACUACAAAUUUUUUUUUCAUUUAGAAUUUUUAGGUUUCGAGUUAAAUAUACCAUUAAAACUAAAUUUGUGGCUCAAUAAAUUGUAGAAACCUUUCCAAAUGCAUUACAAAUAUUCUCUUAAUGCUAACUGAAAAUAUUUUGGGUGUUGCAGUCCUAUUAGAUUAGGAAUACGAUUGUGUAAAUCCUAGUAUAUCUUGGAAUAUCUCUUAUAUACCUAUUAGGAGUAGAUUACCUAUUAAAUGUUGUAAUCCUAAAGGGUAAGGAAUUAACCUUCUUACUAUUAUAAAUAAAGGCACAAUGAGGUGAAAUAACACACACCCAUAAUUACACAUCUCUCUCUUCUUCUUCUCUAUUGCCGUACCUUUCUCUCUCUCUAUGGCCUCCAUAAUUGUUCAGCAAAUUAUACCUACAACACGUUAUCAGCACGCUUUGACGCUGCUCUAAAGAGAGUUUAUUCUUAAAUCAGGAGAGUAUUGCGUUUUAAUCAUUCUUUUUGUGAUUAAUUUAUUAUUUUAUUGAAUUGAUCUACAUGCUAUUGAUUCAUCUUUCUUUGUUGAACGUGAUACAAUGCAUUAGAGAUGCAAUUCCAGCUUUCCAAGAAUGAACUUCUACAAAUUCAAAGGCUUUUAUUGUUUUCUGCCAAUCAGAUAAGCUUAAAAUGAAGGAAGAUAUUUGAAAUGACCUUGAAGCAUGAAAACAUUCCCCAUGACGCAUGAACCCCCUAUGUUUAUAUUUUGCUUCCGAUCUAUAUAUUGUAUAUGUUCAUAUAUUUGUCAAUAUAUAUAUAUAUGUAUAUAUAUAUAUUUGUUACAUGCUUAUGCAAUUAAAUUGCUAUGUGGAAUUGUGAGUCAAAGCAUAUAAAUAAAUUAGAAGCAUAUUAGGGUUUUUCAAACCCUACAUAUCGAAAAAAAUUCUUUAGGAAAAACACUAAGCCAAUGUACCAAGCCAGCAGCUUGUCAGCGUCACCAAUGACUU